UUGACUUAAAUGGACAUUGAUAUUAACAUGACUUUCUCUCUUUUUAAUGUUUAGCUUGCUAUGACAGUUUCCUUACCACCGCAAUGUGAGUUCUUUCCCCUUACAGCUUAGACUACAGGGAGCACAGAAAACACACACACACCUAGCAUUUCACUGUCAUUCUUUACCUUCUAUUUAGCAGAAGGCCACCACACCACAUUAGAGCUGUUAAGACAGAGCCUAUAAACAACAGUGAGACUGACUACCACAGAAGGCAGCACUGGAUAGCCAUGCAGGCGAAGCUGAGGAAGUAAAGUGAAGAACAUGAAGAGAAAGAAGAAGAAGAAGAAGAACCAGCACCACCUGUGGGAUUAAAUGGUCUUAAUGUCCUUGUAAUAUCUAUGACAGACAGAGGCACAGGGAUGGGGAAAGUGAUGCAGUGCUGGAGCCUGAGCUGUCUAGGGUUGAAACGACUGUAGCAAACACCCAGUAAACAUCCAUCAGACAGUAGAGAGAGGGGGAGGAGAGAGAGAGAGAGAGAGAGAGAGAGAGAGAGAGAGAGAGAGAGGGGAAGCUCCUCAUCACUGACCUCUCUAGACCCACAAAUCUUCUCGCUUAAUUGGAGAUCGUCCCGUAUCGAUUUUCAUCAGUCUCUUUAUUUGCCGUAGCAGCCACACAUAACCAGGGGACAUUUAGUGUGCUUCUCACUGCUAAAAUGUCCCAUCUCUGAAAUGCUAUUAAAUUGAAUCAUUGCAGAAAAUUGUUUAAGUAAACAUAGUAAACAUAUCACAGUUUUGGGGUGUCUUUUUUAAAGUCUUUAAAAAAAAAAUUGCAUUCCACUUCAGUCUUUUUUGUGUAUUAUUAGCUAGUCAGAGUGCAAUACUUUUAUUUUUAUGGGUAAAUGUAACAGUAAAUAUUCAGUUUCAUGAAGUCUAAUAGAUUUUUUUUAAACAUGUUUUUCACCAUCUAUAGCCAAUAUAAGUUCAUUAUUGCAUUUACACUCAAAUGAUUACAGUAGCCUACAAUAUAAAUCACAUUUCAAUUAUGAGUCAUUUUUUCUUUGCAAAAAGUGUUCUGUUUAUUUAAUUUUUUCAUAGAAUUUGUUUAAAUCAAAACACACUCAUAUGCAAGCAGACUGUUUUGAUUGCAACUAUAUUUCAAAACCCAAAAUAAACAUUCACUAAAUAAAUACAACUUUUCCCCUGUG